ensembl:lncRNA
AUGAUUUCAAACAUGUUAAAAGUAGUUAAUUUUACUCGACAAAAUAUUAUCUGGGUGUUUUUCAAAAACCGCGCGCAUUUUUCAGUCAGUCGCGUCCACACUCCGCUCAUCCCCCGCGGGACCGCGCUCACUCGCUCACUCACACUGAUCACAGCAGGACUACUGGCGACGCGGUCACGGAAAAUAACAGCCAGACACAGACAAACGAGUCCCGCAAAGUGUAUUUUUAAGCUUAUGUUAGAGAGAUGGCUGACAGAGCAUCUUCGUCAUCUCUAACCGUCACUCCCGCCACAGAUCUGAAGCGAGGUAAAGCCAACACACAUUCACUGUAUUAAAACACCUUUAAACUUCUUGUUAAUUUUUAUUGAUUAUCUGUAAGUUUCAUCUAGAAUGUCCAUGUGAUGCUGAUCAAGUUUACUAAAUCCACCGAACGGUGUACAAACUGGCUGAAGAGCUUUAUAAUGGCUGUUUAAACUUAGUUAACAUUUUACACUGUUAUUUGCUCCUCACGUUGUCUUAUUUAAAAUUCAUAUUAUCAAAUUGUUGUCAUACUUUGAAAUCAAUGUUUUCAGUGCAAAGGCAGAGAGGGGCGGUGUGAUGUCAUUGGCAGCAAGAAGGCUGCAAUACUUAUAUGGGCCUGAAAUGAAGUAAGUAGAAUUCACAUUAAACAAAUUGAUGGGCUUUAGUGUUGUACCAGAUGUUAUUUGUCACGUUAUAAACAGUUAUGUAAAUACAUCGUUCUUCAGUUUUUAUUUUUUGAUGAUUUGCCAUAAAUGCAGAUGUAAUGAUGACCAGAAAUGACAAGCAGCACACAUGUUAAGUCUUCUGAAGCAAUACUAUACUUUUGUUUUGUGAAUAUUAGAUUAAUCAAAUACACAGUGAAUACACAGAUGAAAAAUAACAAACCUCAACUAACAUCCCACAAGAAUAACAUCAUGACAUCUAAGAACCAGUCAUGUGUAAUUCAGACUAGGGCUGGGCGAUAUAUGAAAAAAAAAUAUAUAUCUCGAUAUUGUCACAUUUUUUAUGAUAUUCAAUAUAUAUCUUGAUAUGUUUGCAUUUGCAUUUAGAUAAUAAAAAUAAAAAAAAUUGGGGGAAAUAGUUAAACUGGGAUAAGAAUUUUUAUUUUAUUUUUUUAAACAAGUUUUUAGCUAAGAACACAAGUCUGUCUACUGUCUCUGGUUUAAGAGAAGCUCUGUGGCAUGAAACUAUGUUCCCACUGCCACUAAAAACCCUCUCAGAUGGGGAGCUAUUUGCUGAAGCACAUAGGUAUUUCUUAUAUAUAUAUAUAUAUAUAUAUAUAUAUAUAUAUAUAUAUAUAUAUAUAUAUAUACAAAGACUUAUACACUCUCUGUCUAUAUUGUGAAAAACUGGUAAAACAAAUGAAAAAAAUAUUAUAAAAAGUUAAAUUCCUAUAAGUAAUUCCACAUUGCCAUAUUUUUACACAUGAUUCAUAAAAAUAAGCUAUCCAUAAAUGUUGCUUAAUUGUGAGUUAAAUUUCUCUAAUUUUGUGUUUUGUGUUCAGGAACAAUAUCAGUCAUUCAAGCUAUGAUCCUGGCAGAUCUACUAUCUGAAAAAAGACUCAGCAGAUUUUUUUCAAGACACACAAGGUAGGACACAGUUCAGAACUUUAUAUUUACUUGGCAACAUUUUUCUGAGAUCAGCAGAAAUUACGGAAUAGUUGAUCUAGGGAUGUUCAUUUUAACCGGUUAACCAUUAACCGACCGUUAAGAAUUUUGACAGAUUAAAACAAUCAGUUAAACGGUUUAAAAAGUCAUUUAUUUAUUUUCAGUAAUUUAUCAAAAUAUUUAAAAAGGUUUGCUGCAUGGUUAAAAUAUGUACCGUAUAAUUUUUAUUUUUUAAAAAAAAAAAACCCAUUUUAUUAUUUAAUUCAGAAAUAGGUCUGAUGCCGACACGAAAUGUUUAAAAUCAUUAUAAUAAACUGUAAACAUAGCUAGGCUAUUUUAGUUCCCCUCACUCCACAACAAAUCAUUUCAAUUAACUGUAUUUAGAAAAGAACAAGAAAUAGGCCUUUCAGAAGUUAUAGCAAUAUAAAUAACAAGCCAAAAGGAAUUAAUUUAGGUUACGUUCCAAUAUCAAAUAUGUUUUGCAUAACAUUACGGUGGUAUGGUGAUAACACUUAACAGCACUGAUUUUACUGCAUAUUUAAACUGAGCAGUGUGGUUUUUCCCCCAUGUUUGAGUGAAUGUAUUAUUUAUGAUGAUGAACAGGCUGCAUUGUCAAAGUAGCAAAGCUUAACUGUGAGCGUGCAUGCAGCGCCAGUGCAAUCACUUGAGUUUUUCCUUCUAACAGUGAAAGCAACUACUCAUUUUAGUCGUAAAGAUAAUCGGAAUUGUAAACGGUUUGCCUUUAUUUGUGUAGAUUCACAAUAAAAACAAAUCUUUUUGUGUAAAAUAAGCCUAAAGAAAAAUAGGAUGCCGCUUUCUGCUGUCUGUUUCCUUUUGUGCAGCAAAAAAAAUUAACCGAAACUGCAUUUUUCAUUCAUUUUCAUAAUAUAUUAAGUAAAAAAUAUAUUUCUCGUAUAGGCCUAUUUGUUUGUUUUAUAUAUAUAUAUAUAUAUAUAUAUAUAUAUAUAUAUAUAUAUAUAUAUAUAGAGUCUAGCUUUAUUAUGUUUUUCUCCUCCCGCAGAAGCGCUGCAGGUGUGUGAUGUGAUUUGAAGACCAUGUGAAUCCUCAUGUUCUGUUGUUAGCGGCUUUUUGCACAUGUAAAAUUAAUACAAAUGUUAGUAUUUUUAACGGGUCACAGACACUGAUCCUUUCUAAUUUAAUUAAAUUCUAAUUUAAAAUAAUCUUGUCAGUUAACGGUUAAUAAUCGGUUAACGACCGUUGGUUGUCGGUUAGGAAAAAUAACUAAAAUGAACAUCCCUAAGCUGAACAUAGUUGAACCACUAAAAAAUUAAAAUUCUGUCAUGGUUUACUCACCCUCAUGUUGUUCAAACCCAUUUUGAAUUAAUUGUAUUAAUCUUUAGACAAUUAUUAUUUUUUUUAUAAUCUUUCAUCAUUUUUGUCUUUCCAUUGGAAGUCUAGGCAGUAGACUUAUUAUUUCAUAGGAAUUUUGUAAUAACACAGUUUGUAACAUCAGCCAAUCUGUUUACUUUACAGAUGGAGCGUGGAGAGACCGGACAGUUCCCACAGUGCUAGUUUUUCAGCACCCACACCCCACACACAAAUUCAUAUAGAAGUUUUCAAUAAUAAAAAGUUUAUAUGAUAGUUUAUAUUUAGCUAUGAAGUUAUAGUUCAUUGUCAUAAAUAUUAAACUAAAUAUUAAAGUCCCCCUGUAGUGAAAUCAAGUUUUUAUGCUGUUUAUUUGUCUUUGUGGUUUUUAAUAUUGCUACAUUACAAUCCAAUAACCAAUCACAUUAAAGAAUCAAUUCCUAUCAUUAGAAUGCAAAAUAUACCAAUACCAGCACAAGACUAAAAAUAAAUUAUAGGAAAAAAAAAAAAAAAACAUUAAGCUGUGGUUUAAUGUGAAUUUAGAUACAAUAUUUGACUACGGGGGACUAAAUUUUUUUUUACAUGAUAUGCAAUUUUCACCAGUCUGUUCAAUGUGUUAAUGAGAUUUUUGAAAGUGAUUAUCUUUAAUAAUUCAGAUACCUGUUGAAAUGCACAUGUAAUUAUAUGCUUGCUCGUAUCUUGAAUGUUGUGUUAAUAAACAUUAUGUUGAAAGAAUGUUGCAACAGUGCUAACCUGAAAAUAACAUUUUAUUAAGCUACACUUUGUAAUGUUCAAAUGAAUGUUUAUAGAAUGUUUUAUUUUUAAGAAAUUGUAAGUGGAAAGAACAUUGUAGGAACAUUCUGGUAACCAUAAAAUAACGUUCCAGCAACGUUAAGCAAACUGGACAUUUUAACGUUCCUGGAAUGUUCCAGAUAACGUUCCCACAACCAAAAGGGAACGUUAGGAAAACGUUCUCAGAACAUAAAUUUGUUAGCUGGGGUGUUUCGACGCAGCGCCACCUAGUGGUCAGGAGAUAUGAAAAAUGCAUAUUUUUGCUUAUAACUUCUGAAUGGUUUGGCCAAAAAUCACAAAACUGGUCUCAUUAGAUUCGGUGGGUCAUGUCAAGUCGAAUGAUAUCCAAUUUUCCCGUGUCGGCCAUUUUAGGUGUCGGCCAUUUUGAAUUAUAUUUCAAAAUGCUGUAUUUUUUGAACGCAUCAUCGUAUCGCUACGAAAAUAAUUACAAAAAUGUUUGGCUCCAUGCCCUGAAGCUACUCAAAAAGUUUGGUGACAGCGCCACCUUGUGGUCAAAAGAUAUAAUGAAAUAUCUUAAAAAUGCUAAUAACUUUUGAAAAAAUUUGACUAUUGCAAUGAAUGUCAUGUCUCUAUAUUCUUUGGGUCUUGCCGAGAACAUCGAUACCAAUUAUUCCAAAAUUGGCCAUACUUCCUGUCCGCCAUUUUUAUUAAAGUUGAAAACCUACUUUUUCGAACUCCUCCUAGACCGUUAGUCCGAUUUUCACCAAAUUUGGUUCGGAUCAUCUUCAGACCAAGCUGACAAAAAGUUAUGGAUUUCGUGUUGAUAUACGAAACGGUUUUCGUUUAGCGCAUCAACGAAUUUGUUCGUAAGAUGCCAAAAUACAUCUGAGGCUGUAUCUCGGCAAAGCUUUGACAUAUUUGUACCAAACUUUGUAUGUGCCAUUGUCACCUCAGACUGACCAUGCCACAUCAAUUUUAUAACAGUGCCACCUAUUGGUCAAGAGUAAUAAAUCAUUCAUUACCGAUUAAUAAUUACAUUUAUACAAAUGCUAAUAACUUUUUAUUGCAUUCGCCUAUUGCAAUGAAACUGGUCUCAAAAUAUUCCUUGGCUUAUGCCGACAACAUAGAUACCAAAUAUGCCAGAGUACGCUGAACUUCCUGUCCGCCAUUUUUGAUUUAUGUUGAAAAAAACUACUUUUUCGAACUCCUCAUCAACCGUUGGUCCG